rnacentral:rRNA from 1 species
AACAAGGUCUCCGUUGGUGAACCAGCGGAGGGAUCAUUAGAGUUAAAAACGCUCUAACCCACUGUGAACACUACCGUGUAUGCCUCGGCAGGCCCUUUUAUUAGGGCCUGCCAAAGGAACUAUGCAAACUAAUUAUUAAAGUCGUGAGCGUAUUAUGAAUAACUAUAAAAACUUUUAACAACGGAUCUCUUGGCUCUAGCAUCGAUGAAGAACGCAGCUAAAUGCGAUAAGUAAUGCGAAUUGCAGAUUUCAGUGAGUCAUCGAGUUUUUGAACGCAUAUUGCGCCUGCUGGCUAUUCCAGCAGGCAUGCCUGUUCGAGCGUUAUUACAACAUUAGACGUCUGUCUUUGUUAGAGAUUGGCUAGCGGCCACCUCUGAAAUACAGCAGCAGCUGUCUGCCCUAGCUCCCUUGUGUAGUAAAAAUAAGCCACGCAUUGCGGAAGAAAGGCAUCUUAACUGCUAUAAACUUUUUAAUAGUUUAACCUCGAAUCAGGUAGGGAUACCCGCUGAACUUAAGCAUAUCAAUA